CAGGAAACCACUGAUCGGCACCAUCACGAUGGUUUAUCUCAUCCCUAGAAUGGGAUAUAAGUGGAAUUGUAGAAAAUUCGGUGGACCUCAGGGCUCCUUCCACUGUUUGGCGAUUGUGGACAUUGCUGCUAUAAACACUGGGGGAGAAGGUCUAGCAGCCUGGGAGGGCAGCAUCUGGAAGGAAAAUGAGAUCAACUACGGAGCAUGCUGCAGGGCCGGGGAAAGGCCACACUAACCGGCUCCAUACACGCCCCUGGAGCAAGGGGCCUCUGCCUGGCACCCCAAGCCUAGCGCGCUGCUCUAACUUUCCCAGCGUCCUGAAGGUGCCACGUCACGGCAGCUUUUGCGACUGCAGAUGCGUUCCCCACACUGUGCUGGGAAAUCCCACCCUGCCACCCUCUCUGCUCCCAUUGGAGUUUCCCUCCACAAAGUGCUGGCUUCCUGUGUCCAAGGAGAGGGGCCCUGCCUCGGUCCUCAAGCUGGCCCUACACUCAUGCCCACAAAGUCCUCUUACUCCCUGACCUCUCCUCAUCGGAGGAAGUAGAAUCCUCUCUUUGCACUGGUUCCUUCUGUC